AUAAUUACAAAACAUCCGAGUAGACCAACCAAUGGCAUUCAACAGCUAAAUGUGGGGUGUACGAGACAACUCCCAAUGAAAUAAUAGAAGGUGGAGAGCAAAUGAUGGACCAAGGUAGAGGGAAUACAACUCCAUUCAAGAAGAGGAUAUUACUCACAAGUAAAGAAUUCCAAAAAAGGUGUGAAAAAAGGCUUUGUUAUCAUUGUAAUGGGAAAUUCAGGCUUGGACAUAGAUGCAAGAAAACUCUCUAGAUCUUGAUUGUCAGUAGCAGAAGGAUGAAAAUGAGUGGACAGACGUCAAGGAAGAGGAAGAGGAUGAGGAUAAGUUAGUACCAAAAGUGCAAUUGUUAUCAGCACAUGUCUCUCUAAAUUUCAUGUUGGGGUAGACACACUUGAGGUCUAUUAAGUUGAAAGGGGAGUUGAAAGGAAGAGAGAUUAUAGUACUAAUAGAUAGUGGGGCCUCCCACAAGAUUUUGUGUGCCAAUUUAGUGG
rnacentral:lncRNA from 1 species